AUUGAACGCUGGCGGCAGGACUAACACAUGCAAGUCGAGCGAGCGGCGGACGGGUGAGUAAUGUAUGGGGACUGCCCGAUAGAGGGGGAUAACUACUGGAAACGGUAGCUAAUACCGCAUACUAUCGGAUAACCCAUAUGGGAUUAGCUAGUAGGGUGGGCAAUGGCUCACCGAGGCGACGAGCCCUAGCUGGUCUGAGCGGAUGAUCAGCCACACUGGGACAGUGACACGGCCCAGCCGCCUACGUAGGCGGCAGUGGGGAAUAUUGUACAAUGGGCGCAAGCCUGAUGCAGCCAUGCCGCUUGUAUGAAGAAGGCCCUAGGGUUGUAAAGUACUUUCAGUCGGGAGGCGUUACCGACAGAAGAAGCACCGGCUAACUCCGUGCCAGCCGCCGCGGUAAUUC
rnacentral:rRNA from 1 species